rfam:Aphanomyces astaci strain APO3 cont1.641, whole genome shotgun sequence.
GACGAUGUAGCUCAGGGAGAGCACUAGUGGCAACACUAGAGGUGCUGGUUCAAGUCCAGUCAUUGUUA